UCGAGAAUCUUCCGCAAUGGACGAAAGUCUGACGGAGCGACGCCGCGUGCUGGAUGAAGGCCCUCGGGUUGUAAACAGCUGUCGUAGGGGAGGAAAUUUUGACCGAUCCUAGGAGGAAGCACAGGCUAAGUUCGUGCCAGCAGCCGCGGUAAUACGAACUGUGCAAACGUUAUUCGGAAUCACUGGGCUUAAAGGGUGCGUAGGCGGGUUUGUAGGUCAGAUGUGAAAGCCCACGGCUCAACCGUGGAAUUGCGUUUGAAACCACAAGUCUUGAGGGGAUCAGAGGAGAGCGGAACUGAUGGUGGAGCGGUGAAAUGCGUUGAUAUUAUCAGGAACACCGGUGGCGAAAGCGGCUCUCUGGGAUCUUUCUGACGCUGAGGCACGAAAGCUAGGGGAGCGAACGGGAUUAGAUACCCCCGUAGUCC
rnacentral:rRNA from 1 species